GAUGAAGAACGUAGUGAAAUGCGAUAAGUAGUGUGAAUUGCAGAAUUCAGUGAAUCAUCGAAUCUUUGAACGCACAUUGCGCCCGCCAGUAUUCUGGCGGGCAUGCCUGUCCGAGCGUCAUUUCAACCCUCGAACCCCUCCGGGGGGUCGGCGUUGGGGAUCGGCCCUGCCUCUUGGCGGUGGCCGUCUCCGAAAUACAGUGGCGGUCUCGCCGCAGCCUCUCCUGCGCAGUAGUUUGCACACUCGCAUCGGGAGCGCGGCGCGUCCACAGCCGUUAAACACCCAACUUCUGAAAUGUUGACCUCGGAUCAGGUAGGAAUACCCGCUGAACUUAAGCAUAUCAAUAAGCGGAGGA
rnacentral:misc_RNA from 1 species